GAAGGCAUUCGCAUCUGGUGAUGCGGCUGGGCUUCAAACCCAGUUGAGGACGUCAGACGUUCUCAGGUCGGUUCGACUCCGGCUGCCUUCCGCCA
rnacentral:tRNA from 1 species